rnacentral:rRNA from 1 species
GACGAACGCUGGCGGCGUGCCUAAUACAUGCAAGUCGACCGCAGUUGCGAACGGGUGAGUAACGAGUAGGUAACUGCCUCAUAGCGGGGGAUAACUAUUGGAAACGAUAGCAAAAAUCGCAUACUGUGAGAUGGACAUGCGUUGUAUUAGCUGGUUGGUGGGGGAAAGGGUCACCACGGCGACGAUACAUAGCCGGGCUGAGAGGGUGGUCGGCCAAACUUGGACUGGGACACGGGCCAAACUCCUACGGGAGGGAGCAGUAGGGGAACUUCGGCAAAUGACGGAAAGCUGACCGAGCAACGCCGCGGUGUUGAAGGAGGUUUUCGGGUCGUAAAGCUCUGUUGUUCGAGAAGCGGUACCUAACCAGAAAGGGACGGCUAACUACGUGCCAGCAGCCGCGGUAAUUC